CACGCUGUAAACGAUGGGUACUAGGCUUUGUGGGAAUAGACCCCUGCAGAGCCGGAGCUAACGCAAUAAGUACCCCGCCUGGGAAGUACGGUCGCAAGACUAAAACUCAAAGGAAUUGACGGGGGCCCGCACAAGCGGUGGAUCAUGUGGUUUAAUUCGAAGCAACGCGCAAAACCUUACCUGGGUUUGACAUCCUCUGACAAACGUAGAAAUACGUCUUUUGUAGCAAUACAACAGAGAGACAGGUGC
rnacentral:rRNA from 1 species